AUGAGAGCACAAAAGUGCAAUCGUCAUACCAUCUUAAUUAGUAUUAUAGCUAAUCAUUAAUAAGAAAAUUAACUAAUUAACGUUGUAUUUGUGUUUGAGUGCAAGUAAUCCAAGAAACUUAAUAACAUUGGGUUUGAGCCCAAUGCCCGGCAGCCCGAGCUCAAGUCAAGCCAGCAAUUUCACGUGAUGGAGCUCAGCCCGCGAUGAAAAUCCCAACCGGAGUCCCAGUAAUCACCCAUGAUGCAUCCAAUAUCCAGUGUCCAGCCCGCGUCUCCUUCGACCGAGCAAUCUCCCAGCGCCCAUCAA
rnacentral:lncRNA from 1 species